GUUCUCAUAGUUAAACGGAUAUAACAAAGCCCUCCUAAGGCUUAGUUCGGGGUUCGAUUCCCUGUGGGAACGCCA
rnacentral:tRNA from 1 species